rnacentral:rRNA from 1 species
UACAGAGGUGGCAAGCGUUGUUCGGAAUUACUGGGCGUAAAGGGCGCGUAGGCGGCCUUCUAAGUCAGACGUGAAAUCCCCCGGCUUAACCUGGGAACUGCGUCUGAUACUGGAGGGCUUGAGUGCGGGAGAGGGAUGUGGAAUUCCAGGUGUAGCGGUGAAAUGCGUAGAUAUCUGGAGGAACACCAAUGGCGAAGGCAGCACUCUGGGACGUGACUGACGCUGAGACGCGAAAGCGU